GGGGACAUAGUUUAGUGGUAGAGGGCUUACUUAGUAUGUAUGACACUCUGGGUUCAAUCCCCAGUACCCCG
rnacentral:tRNA from 1 species